rnacentral:rRNA from 1 species
AUUGAACGCUGGCGGCAUGCCUUACACAAGCAAGUCGAACGGCAGCACGGGUGCUUGCACCUGGUGGCGAGUGGCGAACGGGUGAGUAAUACAUCGGAACAUGUCCUGUAGUGGGGGAUAGCCCGGCGAAAGCCGGAUUAAUACCGCAUACGAUCUACGGAUGAAAGCGGGGGACCUUCGGGCCUCGCGCUAUAGGGUUGGCCGAUGGCUGAUUAGCUAGUUGGUGGGGUAAAGGCCUACCAAGGCGACGAUCAGUAGCUGGUCUGAGAGGACGACCAGCCACACUGGGACUGAGACACGGCCCAGACUCCUACGGGAGGCAGCAGUGGGGAAUUUUGGACAAUGGGCGAAAGCCUGAUCCAGCAAUGCCGCGUGUGUGAAGAAGGCCUUCGGGUUGUAAAGCACUUUUGUCCGGAAAGAAAUCCUUGGCCCUAAUACGGUCGGGGGAUGACGGUACCGGAAGAAUAAGCACCGGCUAACUACGU